GAUGAACGCUGGCGGCGUGCUUAACACAUGCAAGUCGAACGAUGAAGCCCAGCUUGCUGGGUGGAUUAGUGGCGAACGGGUGAGUAACACGUGAGUAACCUGCCCUUGACUCUGGGAUAAGCCCGGGAAACUGGGUCUAAUACCGGAUAGGAGCGCCUGUCGCAUGACGGGUGUUGGAAAGAUUUUUCGGUCAAGGAUGGACUCGCGGCCUAUCAGCUUGUUGGUGAGGUAAUGGCUCACCAAGGCGACGACGGGUAGCCGGCCUGAGAGGGUGACCGGCCACACUGGGACUGAGACACGGCCCAGACUCCUACGGGAGGCAGCAGUGGGGAAUAUUGCACAAUGGGCGGAAGCCUGAUGCAGCGACGCCGCGUGAGGGAUGACGGCCUUCGGGUUGUAAACCUCUUUCAGUAGGGAAGAAGCGAAAGUGACGGUACCUGCAGAAGAAGCACCGGCUAACUACGUG
rnacentral:rRNA from 1 species